rnacentral:rRNA from 1 species
UACGGAGGGGGCUAGCGUUGUUCGGAAUUACUGGGCGUAAAGGGCGCGUAGGCGGGCAUUCAAGUCGGGGGUGAAAUCCCGGGGCUCAACCCCGGAACGGCCUCCGAUACUGGGUGCCUGGAGGACGGAAGAGGCGAGUGGAAUGCCGAGUGUAGAGGUGAAAUUCGUAGAUAUUCGGCGGAACACCGGUGGCGAAGGCGGCUCGCUGGUCCGUUUCUGACGCUGAGGCGCGAAAGCGUGGGGAGCAAACAGGAUUAGAUACCCCCGUAGUCC